UUUAAAUCAUUCCAAUGAUGAGUUUCUCUCAUAUUUUCCUUAUUCCUUUCAACAGAUUUCACAAUUGUCAAGUCCCAGAGGAAAUUCUUGGAAAAUAGUCUGGCAAGGAAGAAUAUCCCAACUUUCUCUGGCAAAAAUUAUUUCCCUGAGGAAGGUGGGAGUGAAAUGACGGGAAUUUAUCAGAGCAGAUGAAAAUUAUUGUUUACCUGCUGGAAAGGUGAAAAGAACCUGGACUGGUACUCAGGAUUCUCACAAAAGUCAGGAGGAUUUGAAUAAACACAGACAGCAGGGGAGUUUCUUGGGCAGAAAUUACAGAAUUGGGUGAAUUACACUGAGCUGUGGUGGCCUGGAGAUAACAACAAACCAAAUGGCAGGUUGUUUGGUGUGCAACUGGAAUUUUUGCCCAAAUCCCAAGAAGUUUCGCAAGAUCUGGCUGCAAAGUGAAAUGCUGUGAAUUUUAGUGGAUCAUUUCCAGCCCCUCUGCUGAGGCUCCCUCUCAGUCCUCUCACUUAUCCCACUUAGCAGCAGAGUCAUUUUAAGAGAGACUGUUCCAGAAUUCCCAAAUCAAUACCUUCUAAUCAGACUGAUAAAGUAUUUAUUACUCUGCUGCUGGUUAUCCUUCACUUCUAUCAGCACAAGUUCAUUUCAUGGAAAUAACAAGGGAUAAAAAUGGGGGAAAUAUUUACGACUCCAAAAUUGUAAGUACGUUUGAAUUUGGAUCCAAUGUCCAUAACUCUCACAAAUUUGGGAGGAAUCAGGUUCUAAGACAUGUGUGAAGUGCAUUAAUGACAAUUUCACUACUUUUCCAUCAGUUUAUUAAUGGUAAAUUUGGGAAGUUCCUGACUUUGUCUCCAGAGGAUGUAACCCAGUGCAGCUCUAUUGUUUUAGUGGAGUUAUAAUGGCCACAGACCACCUGAAAAUCCCUUUGAGUCUUUUCAGGAAUCUUAAAUUGAGAUUAAGAAAGUAUUUUGAGGCUUGUGCAUUUAUGGAGUGAUUCCAGUUGUCAUGCCAUUUGGGGGAAAGAAAAAGAGAAUAAAAACUUGGGCAGAAGUUUUAUUACAUAGGAUUGUGCUGCAACUGCAAGCACUCAAUAAAAAGG